rnacentral:rRNA from 1 species
AAGUCAGUGACCUAACCGCAAGGAAGGAGCUGCCGAAGGCGGGACUGAUAACUGGGGUGAAGUCGUAACAAGGUAGCCGUAUCGGAAGGUGCGGCUGGAUCACCUCCUUUCUAAGGAA